rnacentral:rRNA from 1 species
AACCUGCCUUUCAUUCUGGGAUAACACCGGGAAACCGGUGCUAAUACCGGAUACUCCGUCUUGGCGGCAUCGCCGAGCCGGGAAAAAUUUUGAUGAAAGAUGGUCUCGCGGCCUAUCAGCUAGUUGGUGAGGUAAUGGCUCACCAAGGCGACGACGGGUAGCCGGCCUGAGAGGGCGACCGGCCACACUGGGACUGAGACACGGCCCAGACUCCUACGGGAGGCAGCAGUAGGGAAUAUUGGGCAAUGGGCGCAAGCCUGACCCAGCGACGCCGCGUGAGGGAUGAAGGUCUUCGGAUUGUAAACCUCUUUCAGUAGGGAAGAAGCGAAAGUGACGGUACCUAAAGAAGAAGCACCGGCUAACUAUGUGCCAGCAGCCGCGGUAAUACAUAGGGUGCAAGCGUUGUCCAGAAUUAUUGGGCGUAAAGAACUCGUAGGUCGUUUGUCGCGUCGAUUGUGAAAAUCUGAGGCUCAACCUCAGACCUGCAGUCGAUACGGGCAAACUAGAGUGUGGUAGGGGAGACUGGAAUUCCUGGUGUAGCGGUGGAAUGCGCAGAUAUCAGGAGGAACACCAAUGGCGAAGGCAGGUCUCUGGGCCAUAACUGACACUGAGGAGCGAAAGUGCGGGGAGCGAACAGGAUUAGAUACCCUGGUAGUCCGCACCGUAAACGGUGGGCACUAGUUGUGGGAACCUUCCACGGUUUCCGCGACGCAGCAAACGCAUUAAGUGCCCCGCCUGGGGAGUACGAUCGCAAGAUUAAAACUCAAAGGAAUUGACGGGGCCCCGCACAAGCAGCGGAG